rnacentral:rRNA from 1 species
UGGCUCAGGACGAACGCUGGCGGCGUGCCUAACGACAUGCAAGUCGAACGGGGAUUUGUUUCGGCAGAAUCCUAGUGGCGAACGGGUGAGUAACGCGUAGGCAACCUGCCCUCCGGCCGGGGACAACACUCCGAAAGGGGUGCUAAUACCGGAUACGAAGUCUGUGCCGCAUGGUACGGAUUUGAAAGAUGGCCUCUAUUUAUAAGCUAUCGCCGGGGGAUGGGCCUGCGUCCGAUUAGCUGGUUGGUGGGGUAACGGCCUACCAAGGCGACGAUCGGUAGCCGGUCUGAGAGGAUGAACGGCCACAUUGGGACUGAGACACGGCCCAGACUCCUACGGGAGGCAGCAGUGGGGAAUCUUCCGCAAUGGGCGCAAGCCUGACGGAGCAACGCCGCGUGAGUGAGGAAGUUCUUCGGAACGUAAAGCUCUGUUGUUCCUGACGAACCUCCCUUCUAUCAACAACGGAGGGGACUGACGGUAGGGAACGAGGAAGCCACGGCUAACUACGUGCCAGCAGCAGC